rnacentral:misc_RNA from 1 species
GAUGAAGAACGCAGCGAAAUGCGAUAAGUAAUGUGAAUUGCAGAAUUCAGUGAAUCAUCGAAUCUUUGAACGCACAUUGCGCCCCUUGGUAUUCCGAGGGGCAUGCCCGUUCGAGCGUCAUUAUACCCCUCAAGCCUAGCUUGGUGUUGGGGCCUGCUGUUACCGGCAGCCCUUAAAAUCAGUGGCGGUGCCAUCUGGCUCUAAGCGUAGUAAUACUUCUCGCUACAGGGUCCCGGUGGAUGCUUGCCAUCAACCCCUAAUUUUCUAUGGUUGACCUCGGAUCGGGUAGGGAUACCCGCUGAACUUAAGCAUAUCAAUAAGCGGAGA